CCUGUCUCAGGAUGGCAUCUGGAGAGUUUCCAGACCUCUACCAGUCUUGACCAUGGGAAGGAGAGUCAAGCAGAGGCCUACCCAUUCCAUUCCUAGCUUGGGCAGGGGCUAGUGAGUGGAAGGCCAUCGGCUACAAGU